UGCUCUGUUUACUACCGUUCCUUACCAUAUAUAUGUGAGGUUUGCUCUGUUUGAAUGUUAUAUGUUAUAGCACCAGUUGUGGAAAACAGCUCUUGAUUGGUUCAUAGGAAGCACUCUGCUGGUCCUUCCCUAAAUUGGGAAGUGAAUUCUAAACUAGACAAGCAUGCUUUUAAAAACUAAUUCUGGAGAAAAUCAUGUCACAAUGUACCUAUUAUGCGAAGCUAUUAAUUAUGGCGUCUAGCAGACGUGAGACAGAAACAAAUGCACUUUUUAAGUCAAUAAUUCCAGAUAUAUUAUCGUUUAGAUAACCGAGGGUAGUCAGAUAAUGAAUGUCAUUUAAUUUGUUGAUAAUUUACAGUAAUUAACAUUGUGGAAUAAUUUGUUCAUGUUACUCGCUGAAAGUGAUUUGUGAUACGAAAUUGAUCACAGUGGUGAAAAUUAAAUUAAAAUAUUUAAAUUUGAAUUUGUAAUGAAUAAUUUAAAUUAUAGUAAAAAGUAAAUUUUAGUUAUUGAUAAUUUAUUUUAAAAUUAUUGAAAUUAAAUUUAGAAAUAAAUAUAAAAUAUGAAAGAUUAGGUAGAUAAAAUAACUAGAAAAUAUUUUAAAACAAAUUAUCAUUAUUUAGAGACCAAUAUGGUGGCCAUCUUUUGAUCUUUAUAUAUUUGGUUGCUAAAUUGGUUUUUAUAUCUUUGCUUGCUAAAAUAGUUUUGAUAUAAUUGGUUGCUAAAUUAAUUUCUAUGCAAUUAGUUGCUAAAUUAGUUUCUAUUUGGUCACAAAAUUAGUUUCUAAAUUAGAAGCUAAAUUGGUAUCUAGCAUUAGCUACCAAAGUUUAGCUACUUAUGACUAUUAGAAUCUAAAUUGGUCUCAACUUGAAUAAGUGACUAAUUUGGUCAUUUUAGAGACUAAUAAUUUGGUUUCUAAAACCGAAUUUUCUUGUAGUGCCUGAAUAUGUUAGGUUCCUUUAUUCAAGGAAUCGAACAACUGCUCUAUGCUCACACACACUCAACAGUAUAAAAGAAAUAUGUAUGUAUAUGUAUUUCUAUUUCCUCUCUAACGUGUAGAAAAGGAAAAUACAUGUAUCUGUCUCUCCCCCCAAGGAAGCCUCCCUUCCUCCACUGGCCAACAACAGUUCUUAUCAGACAAAUUUGAUAUGAAAAGAAAUAGUUCUAAGAAUAGGUAUACUCGAAGAACACGAAAUAUGGAGCCCUAGAGAAGAAAGAGUUCAGAAACUGUAUUAGAUAAGAAAAGUAACAACAGUAGAUUCAAUGAGAUAUGGUUAGAACAACACUAUUAUAUGUCUGUGAUCUCCAAGACUACAGAAAACUACGUAAGUGUUAUAGAUAAAGUUUAUGCGCAGUUCACUCCUACUGUUGUUGCGCAUUUUAUUUAUUGGAAUAGCUAAAAUUUAAGAUGUAGUUGGACACUCUGAUAGUAAUUAGUAAUGAAAUCAAUGUUUUUCACUUUUUA